AUUCAAUCCCUGUUCUUCAAUAAAUACAAACAUUAACCAGACUUUUACUGUCAUAACAUGACAUAAUCAUACCAAUCCUCAUCUUUCCUUUCACAUUCAAUCCCUGUUCUUCAAUAAAUACAAACAUUAACCAGACUUUUACUGUCAUAACAUGACAUAAUCAUACCAAUCCUCAUCUUUCCUUUCACAUUCAAUCCCUGUUUUUCAAUAAAUACAAACAUUAACCAGACUUUUACUGUCAUAACAUGACAUAAUCAUACCAAUCCUCAUCUUUCCUUUCACAUUCAAUCCCUGUUCUUCAAUAAAUACAAAAACAUGCUGAUUAUUACCUAACUGGGUCGUUGAUUGUAGACUUUACUAUCUGUAGGAAGGUAAUUGACUCUGGAUAAAAAAAAUAUGCUGUCUGUUUCUAUGACUGUAUAUGGCUCAGCUAAUGAUAAACAUACCCUAACCCUCCUUUGAGCUUCAGUCACCAGCACCAUCUCUCACCUAAAUUCAGUUUGUUUUCUGGUCAUUAGUGUCCACUGUCCACCAAUGUUAUUUAAGCAAUAACACACAAGGGGGUGUUGGAGCCUAGUGGUUAGAGCGUUGGGCCAUUAACCGAAAGGUUGCAGAUUGAAUCCCCGAGCUGACAAGGUAAAAAUCUGUCGUUCUGCCCCUAAACAAGGCAGUUAACCCAAUGUUCCUAGGCUGUCAUUGUAAAAAAUAUUUUUUUCUUAACUGACUUCCCAGUUUUAAAAAAUAUAUAUAUAAAUAUACAUACUACGGUCUGCUAUACCAUGGCUGUCAGCCAAUCAGUAUUCACGACUCCAACCACCCAGUUUAUAAUAAAGAAGGAUUCUGGAAAAUAUGCUGUCUGUUUCUAUGACUGUGUCAUGACUCUCCUGUGAGGAUCUGAAGGAUCAGGUUAGAGUGGGUCUGCUCUACAGCCUGUUCUCUCUCGUAGAGGGGAAUGUCAUGACUCUCCUGUGACGAUCUGAAGGAUCAGGUUAGAGUGGGUCUGCUCUACAGCCUGUUCUCUCUCGUAGAGGGGAAUGUCAUGACUCUCCUGUGACGAUCUGAAGGAUCAGGUUAGAGUGGGUCUGCUCUACAGCCUGUUCUCUCUCGUAGAGGGGAAUGUCAUGACUCUCCUGUGACGAUCUGAAGGAUCAGGUUAGAGUGGGUCUGCUCUACAGCCUGCUCUCUCUCGUAGAGGGGAAUGUCAUGACUCUCCUGUGACGAUCUGAAGGAUCAGGUUAGAGUGGGUCUGCUCUACAGCCUGCUCUCUCUCGUAGAGGGGGAAUGUCAUGACUCUCCUGUGACGAUCUGAAGGAUCAGGUUAGAGUGGGUCUGCUCUACAGCCUGCUCUCUCUCGUAGAGGGGAAUGUCAUGACUCUCCUGUGACGAUCUGAAGGAUCAGGUUAGAGUGGGUCUGCUCUACAGCCUGCUCUCUCUCGUAGAGGGGGAAUGUCAUGACUCUCCUGUGACGAUCUGAAGGAUCAGGUUAGAGUGGGUCUGCUCUACAGCCUGCUCUCUCUCGUAGAGGGGGAAUGUCAUGACUCUCCUGUGAUGAUCUGAAGGAUCAGGUUAGAGUGGGUCUGCUCUACAGCCUGCUCUCUCUCGUAGAGGGGAAUGUCAUGACUCUCCUGUGACGAUCUGAAGGAUCAGGUUAGAGUGGGUCUGCUCUACAGCCUGCUCUCUCUCGUAGAGGGGAAUGUCAUGACUCUCCUGUGACGAUCUGAAGGAUCAGGUUAGAGUGGGUCUGCUCUACAGCCUGCUCUCUCUCGUAGAGGGGAAUGUCAUGACUCUCCUGUGACGAUCUGAAGGAUCAGGUUAGAGUGGGUCUGCUCUACAGCCUGCUCUCUCUCGUAGAGGGGGAAUGUCAUGACUCUCCUGUGAUGAUGUGAAGGAUCAGGUUAGAGUGGGUCUGCUCUACAGCCUGCUCUCUCUCGUAGAGAGGAAUGUCAUGACUCUCCUGUGACGAUCUGAAGGAUCAGGUUAGAGUGGGUCUGCUCUACAGCCUGCUCUCUCUCGUAGAGGGGAAUGUCAUGACUCUCCUGUGAUGAUGUGAAGGAUCAGGUUAGAGUGGGUCUGCUCUACAGCCUGCUCUCUCUCGUAGAGAGGAAUGUCAUGACUCUCCUGUGACGAUCUGAAGGAUCAGGUUAGAGUGGGUCUGCUCUACAGCCUGCUCUCUCUCGUAGAGGGGAAUGUCAUGACUCUCCUGUGACGAUCUGAAGGAUCAGGUUAGAGUGGGUCUGCUCUACAGCCUGUUCUCUCUCGUAGAGGGGAGAGCGGGAAGUCGGCUGUUUUCUGGUCGGUCAUAAAAUACGCUGCCCCUAUGCUCUGUAGUGUUCGAGUUUGGAAUGUAAACUGUGGAAUACAGAGAGACACUUGGACAUCAAAAGUUUGAUUAAUUAAACAAUAUUUCUACUUUUGAGAAUGUGGCAAUGGUCCGUGGACACUAAGGGACAGUCAUGACGAGCGUGUUUCAUUUGGUGACCUCAUGAAGAACAGGAAACACACAUUACUGAAUCUCUGUUUGUGGACACUUUCAAGGUUUACAUCUACAUUUUGUGAAACGUAUGUGAUUAAACAUGAAACUAUUUGUGAAAAGAUGUAAUGUGAUGUUAACCUUCAAAAUGAGAGAAUUGUCUUCCAUGUAAAGUAUUAACCAGGUCAGUGGCCACGUGAUCAUAGACAUUACGUCAGCGUCAUGGACCACCCUUUUCUCAGACGUGUAUAAAACCCACUCCUGGCGAAAUUUACAUUAGACCAGACAGCGUGCAGCGAUGGCUACACAGCUGGAAAUGGUUCAAAUCUGAGACUAUAGAUGACUACAGAAUAAGAGCAAAUACUAGCUGUUCAUGUGUAAACCAUUAGCAUUUCAAUGAAUAUAAUUAUCGACUGUGCGUAGUGAAUCCAUUUUGUCUUUCCCGCUCUUUUAUCUGUCCCCACCCCUUUCCAUUGUCUACCAAGUCAUCAUACCGGUUUAGCCCACCUAGGGACUUAUCAAUGCAUUGUGUUAGUAACCAAUAACUGUUUGUUUGUUAUGUAUUCCUGUGAUUAUUUAGUUAGUUAGUAAAUAAAUAAUUAAGCCAAUUUGUAUAUCGCU